rnacentral:rRNA from 1 species
AAAAUAAUUUAUUUAUUUAAUGUUUUAGUAUUUAGUAAAAAUUAAUUUUUAGAUUUANUAGUUUAAUAGUAUGGUAAAAGAAAAUUGUUAAAUUUAAUAAAGAAAUUUAUUAUUACCUUUUUGUUACCAGGGUUGAAUUAAAAUUUUUAUUUUUUUUUUAAUUUCUCAAAAUUUAUAGAGUUAAUUUUAUUAUUAAUUUAUUGUGGUAGAAAUAUUUAUAAAAUAAUAUUAGUUUUGAAAUUUAAUUCGUUAUAUUAUAUUUAGUUAUUUAAGAUUUAAAUUUAAUUUAAAAUUUUAAAAGUUGUAUUGAUUUUAUUGAUUAAUAUUUUAAAUUUAAAUUAUUUUAGGGAUAAGCUUGAAAUUUUAAUAUAAUAAUUUAUUUAUUUUAAUAAUUUAUAGGAAUAGAAAUUUUUAUUUAAGUUUGUAAAAAUUUAUUAUUUAUUUAAUUUUAAUUUAUUAUAUUUAUAUUUAUUUUUAAUAUUAAAUUUUAUUAAUUAAUAUUUAAUUAAUAGUAAUAAUGAUUAAAUUAGUAUAAUAUAUAAAUUUAUAAAUUAUGAAUUCGGCAAAAAUUAUUUUCAUCUGUUUAACAAAAACAUUGUAUUAAGUUUAAUUUAAUAUAGGAUCUGCUCAAUGAUUUAUUAAAUAGCUGCAGUAUUUUGACUGUGCAAAGGUAGCAUAAUAAUUAGUCUUUUAAUUGAGGACUUGAAUGAAAGAUUUGAUGAGAAAUAGACUUUAUUAUUUAUAAAAUUAAAAUUUUAUUUUUAAGUAAAAAAGCUUAAAUUAUUUAAAGGGACGAUAAGACCCUAUAAAACUUUAUAAAUUUUGAUUUUAAUUUUUUUGGAUUCAUAAAUAUUUUAUAAUUAAAAUUUAUUUUAUUGGGGUGAUAAAAAAAAUUAUUAAACUUUUUUUAAAAUUUAACAUUAUUUAAUGAUUAGUUGAAUUAAAAUUUUUAAUUAAAGGAAAAAGUUACUUUAGGGAUAACAGCGUAAUUAAUUUUUUAAGUUCAAAUUUAAAAAUUAGUUUGCGACCUCGAUGUUGAAUUAAGAUUAAUCUUAGGUGCAAAAUUUUAAGUAUUAGGUCUGUUCGACCUUUAAA